CCUACGGGGGGCAGCAGUAAGGAAUAUUGGUCAAUGGAGGAAACUCUGAACCAGCCAUCCCGCGUGAAGGAUGAAGGGGCUCUGCCUUGUAAACUUCUUUUGUCUGGGGCGAAAAAGCUCGAUUUAUCGAGCACUGACGGUACCAGAAGAAUAAGCACCGGCUAACUCCGUGCCAGCAGCCGCGGUAAUACGGAGGUUGCAGGCGUUAUCCGGUUGAACUGGUGUGAAGGGGUGCGUAGACGUCAGUGGUGAAAGGCUGUGGCUUAACCAUGGAAUUGCCAUUGAUACUGCAGAGCUUGAAUGAGGUUGAGGUUGGCGGAAUGUGACAUGUAGCGGUGAAAUGCUUAGAUAUGUCAUGGAACACCGAUUGCGAAGGCAGCUGACUGGACCUAUAUUGACGCUGAGGCACGAAAGCGUGGGGAGCGAACAGGAUUAGAUACCCGAGUAGUC
rnacentral:rRNA from 1 species